CCUGGAACAGUAUACACUGUUGGCACUCAGUAAAUACUGAAUGAAUGACUGAAUGACUGAAUGAACAUCAUACUUUUUUUUUUUUUUUUUUGAAACAGAGUCUUGCUCUGUCCCCAUGGCUGGAGUGCAGUGGUGUGAUCUUGGCUCACUGCAAUCUCCACAUCCUGGUUUCAAGUGACUCUCUUGCCUCAGCCUCCUGCAUAGCUGGGAUUACAGGCACACGCCACCACACCUGGCUAAUUUUUGUAAUUUUAGUAGAGACUGGGUUUCAUCAUGUUGGCCAGGCUGGUCUCGAACACCUGACCUCAAGUGACCCACCUGCCUCAGCCUCCCAAAGUGCUGAGAUUACAGGCAUGAGUCACUGCGCCCGGCCUGCAUGAAUGUCCUAUGUAGGUGGUUGCCUUAUCAAGCUGAAUCUAGUGUCUCAGUAGCCCCCACUCACUGGUCCUGGUCCUGGUCCUUGUCCUGGUCCUGCUCUCUGAGCCAUGGCCUGUACAUCUAUUCUCUUUUCCAGAAGAUCAACCGUGUCAUCUAUUAUGUGAUUCCCACCCACUCCCCUUCCCCUACUUUAAAAGUGCCCAGACUCUUCAGCUAAGACCCAGGACUCUUCCUUUGUCCUGGGUCCAUCCUUGUCCUCAAGACAUGUGUGGGCUAUCAGUCAGCGGGCUUCAGAUUCUGACUCGCAGAGCUGAAGUCCGCCUCUAGAAGCUCUACUGGAGUGUGGGCACUGUGCUUUGCAGAGGACUGUUGCUUCCCAACAGUGCUCUGGAUCACUGUCUCCCCUCUCACUUUAUCUGCCCAAGGAGGGCCCAAGGCAGCUGAUGGGAUGGAGCAGGGGGAGAGGUGAAGGGGUCAUCUUGAUGGUGGGUACUAACAUGCUGCUGCAGUUUCCCUCCCUCUACACAGAGGACUGCCUGGACUUGCCCCGGGAAAGGGCUGAGGAUGGGGAGAGGAUUCCUACCAGGAUUUCAUGGUCCUGGUUGCAGAAGGCCCUUUGCUGUCUCUCAAAGCUGCUUCCCCACCUCCCCCAACCCUCGUCAUCAUCUGGGUUCUUCACAUUCCGGAAGCACUGAUGUGGCACUAAAUAUUCCUGCAGCUUCAGCCUUCUCCCUUGGGGGCCCACGUCAUCGCUGUGAGCCUGGUUUCUGGAAUGUUUUUGAUAUGAAGCAUCCAGGCAGGGAUACAGCAAUUACCUCUGUCUUCUACUAAGCUUAGCACACAAAAGGGCUUGAUUCAUGAGAGGAAUGAAUAAAGGAGCACUGCUACCCCCACAGCUGAACUCUAAGCUUCUGGAGAUAAACCCACCCCCUGGAUUUUUUCCAUGUUUACCCAGAGUCUAGCCCAGAGUUCCAGCACUGAGUAGGACCUCAGAGACUUAAGACCUAAGUACUCCAGUGUCGCCUAAGCAAUGUCUUGUUUGCUCUCCCAUCUUGACCUCAUAGUUGCCUUGCCCUCCCCAUCUCCUUUGCAGACUAGUGACUUUGCCAGCUCAGCUCUCCAGGUGUGGGAGGGGAGGUCCAACGCGCUCCACUGGGCAGGCACCGACAGCCGGCAGGACAGGUGUGUUGUGGGGCCAGAGCCAGAGCUGGGGACGUUUGGAGGCCUCCUGUGACUACCAGAGUGGGUCGGGGUGGGGGAGGGAGGCUGCCUGAAGCCAGAGCCAGCCGGCUGCUGGCCGGCACUUUGUCCUCAUCCUCCCUUUCAUCCCCAGCCCUCGGAGCCUGGGAGUUUCUCAAUGGAGCAGGCGUGUGGGGAAUGCUCUGCAGGGGGCUGAGGGAGUUGGCGUACGGUGGGGGUGGACAUUCCAGGCAUUCUUUGCUUUCUCUGGGAGUCAGGCAGUGAGGACGGAGGGGGGAAAAGCUGCCCAGCACCAGAGUAAAGGGGAUUUCUUAGGAGGGAGAGAAUAAAGGCUGUGGGGGUGUCUUUACGCAGCAGGAGCAGGGCUCAAGCAGACAGGAGCAGGGGUGGGAGGAGAAGGAGGCAGGUGGUGGGGGCAGGGUGGGAUAAUCUGCCAAAUCCACUUCUACUUUAGUGCCAAAGGCCGGAAGAGCAACUGGGACCCUGGGCCCAGGGCCUUCCCACCUGUGUGCUUAAUAGGGUCAGGCCAGAGCUACUGAGCUCACGUUUGUUUUGAUUCGGCAGUUUUUCUAUUUCCCAUCCCUGGCAGCCUAGGGGAACGAGUAUUAGGAGAAGGCUCAAAAACCUGCUCAGCACCAUCCCUCCCCACCUCAGUCACCAAAGAGAACAGCAGGGCCUGCUUCCAAUCACCUUUCUGGUUUUAAUGGUACUUUUUGGCCACGGAGGUCCAUU
rnacentral:lncRNA from 10 species